rnacentral:sRNA from 1 species
AUUUAACUUCGCGGCGGCGGCGGCGACUGCGGCGCCGCGGGCUGGAGGCCGGCGUCGGGGAAGGUCCUGGUGCCGGAUUCCGCACGAGGUGUUGACGGGCGGCUUCUGCCAACUUCUCCCCAGCGCGCGCCGAGCCCGCGCGGCCCCGGGGCUGCACGUCCCAGAUACUUCUGCGGCGCAAGGCUACAACUGAGACCCGGAGGAGACCAGACCCCAUGGCUUCCUGGACGAGCCCCUGGUGGGUGCUGAUAGGGAUGGUCUUCAUGCACUCUACCCUCCUGCAGACCACAGCUGAGAAAUCUCCCGGAGCCUAUUUCCUUCCUGAGUUUGCACUCUCUCCUCAGGGAAGUUUUCUGGAAGACACAACAGGGGAGCAGUUCCUCACUUAUCGCUAUGAUGACCAGACCUCAAGAAACACUCGUUCAGAUGAAGACAAAGAUGGCAACUGGGAUGCUUGGGGUGACUGGAGUGACUGCUCCCGGACCUGUGGGGGAGGAGCAUCAUAUUCUCUGCGGAGAUGUUUGACUGGAAGGAAUUGUGAAGGGCAGAACAUUCGGUACAAGACAUGCAGCAAUCAUGACUGCCCUCCAGAUGCAGAAGAUUUCAGAGCCCAGCAGUGCUCAGCCUACAAUGAUGUCCAGUAUCAGGGGCGUUACUAUGAAUGGCUUCCACGAUAUAAUGAUCCUGCUGCCCCGUGUGCACUCAAGUGUCAUGCACAAGGACAAAACUUGGUGGUGGAGCUGGCACCUAAGGUACUGGAUGGAACUCGUUGCAACACGGACUCCUUGGACAUGUGUAUCAGUGGCAUCUGUCAGGCAGUGGGCUGCGAUCGGCAACUGGGAAGCAAUGCCAAGGAGGACAACUGUGGAGUCUGUGCCGGCGAUGGCUCCACCUGCAGGCUUGUACGGGGACAAUCGAAGUCACACGUUUCUCCUGAAAAGAGAGAAGAAAAUGUAAUUGCUGUUCCUUUGGGAAGUCGAAGUGUGAGAAUUACAGUGAAAGGACCUGCCCACCUCUCCUCCGCUGCUGAUACCCAGGCAAACAGGGUCUGGAGUGGACCUCCAGCAAACUCCAACAGACCUGCAGCUGAGCAUCCUGACUGUUAGAAGGAAAACUAACAAACAGAAAGGACAUCCACACCAAAACCCCAUCUGUACGUCACCAUCAUCAAAGACCAAAGGUAGAUAAAACCACAAAGGUGGGGAAAAAACAGAGGAGAAAAACUGGAAACUCUAAAAAUCAGAGCACCUCUGCUCCUACAAAGGAACACAGCUCCUCACCAGCAACGGAACAAAGCUGGAUGGAGAAUGACUUUGACGAGUUGAGAGAAGAAGACUUCAGACAAUCAAACUACUCCGAGCUAAAGGGGAAGUUUGAACCCAUGGCAAAGAAGUUAAAAACCUUGAAAACAAAUUGGACGAAUGGCUAACUAGAAUAACCAAUGCAGAGAAGUCCUUAAAGGACCUGAUGGAGCUGAAAACCAAGGCACGAGAACGUGACGAAUGCACAAGCCUCAGUAGCCAAUUCGAUCAACUGGAAGAAAGGGUGUCUGUGAUGGAAGAUCAAAUGAAUGAAAUGAAGCGAGAAGAGAAGUUUAGAGAAAAAAAUAAUAAAAAGAAAUGGACAAAGCAUCCAAGAAAUAUGGGACAAUGUGAAAAGACCAAAUCUACGUCUGAUUGGUGUACCUGAAAGUGACGGGGAGAAUGGAACCAAGUUGGAAAACACUCUGCAGGAUAUUAUCCAGGAGAACUUCCCCAAUCUAGCAAGGCAGGCCAACAUUCAAAUUCAGGAAAUACAGAGAACGCCACAAAGAUACUCCUCAAGAAGAGCAACUGCAAGACACAUAAUUGUCAGAUUCACCAAAGUUCAAAUGAAGGAAAAAUUGUUAAGGGCAGUCAGAGAGAAAGGUCGGGUUACCCACAAAGGGAAGCCUAUCAGGCUAACAGCAGAUCUCUUGGCAGAAACUCUACAAGCCAGAAGAGAGUGGGGGCCAAUAUUCAACAUUCUUAAAGAAAAGAAUUUUCAACCCAGAAUUUCAUAUCCAGCCAAACUAAGCUUCAUAAGUGAAGGAGAAAUAAAAUCCUUUACAGAUAAGCAAAUGCUGAGAGAUUUUGUCACCACCAGGCCUGCCCUAAAAGAGCUCCUGAAGGAAGCACUCAACAUGCAAAGGAACAACUGGUACAAGCCACUGCAAAACCAUGCCAAAUUGUAAAGACCGUCGAGGCUAGGAAGAAACUGCAUCAACUAAUGGGCAAAAUAACCAGCUAACAUCAUAAUGACAGGAUCAAAUUCACACAUAACAAUAUUAACCUUAAAUGUAAAUGGGCUAAAUACCCCACUUAAAAGACACAGACUGGCAAAUUGGAUAAAGAGUCAAGACCCAUCAGUGUGCUGUAUUCAGGAAACCCAUCUCACGUGCAGAGACACACAUAGGCUCAAAAUAAAGGGAUGGAGGAAGACCUACCAAGC